rnacentral:lncRNA from 1 species
AAUUAUUUGCAUGGUUACAAUCAAGAUUAAUUAUUGUUGUACCUUAAAAAAUUUAAAUAUGACUAGCAGACUUAUUUAACUGUGCGCAAUAUAUAAUGCGGCAAUGAAGAAAAUUUUUUAAAUAAUUUUUUAUUUCUUAAUCCUGUCGAGUCUCACCCACCCAAUCCUGCCAACUAAGGACAAUCAGAAGUGCAUGUACAAAUAAUUCCUUUGAUCGUCCCAUAGUUCUUACAAGCUCCCACUGGGUUUUUGCCAAAAAACGCAUCGAUGCACAGUUCUUUACAGGCUUCGUCGUCGAAGCUAUUAUCGCAAGGUUGCAUCUUAUCUUCACACCUAUUUAAUUUUCUCAAUGAUGUAGAAAAUCGUGGGUCAGCUGUAUUCUCAGCUGUAAUAAAUACAACAAUUUUCAUGUUAGUUACUGUCACAUAUUCGUCUAUGUUACGAUAUAAGAAACUAAAUCGUUUUUUCAAUAAAUUUACACUAUAUACAUUAUGAGAUUUACAUUUUUCUUCGUUUAAAUCAGUUUUUCACUGCAUAAAAUCAAGCAAUAUUGGCUUGACUGUAGAGACCUGUGGACCACGUGAGUUGGCCUACUCGAUCUUGAACGUGUGCAAGGGGACAGAAAUUUUACCUGAUGCCAUGGAAAGGACAAGGAGAAUGCAAAAGAAAAGGGAGAUAUUAAUGGCCAUUUUCUUAUGAGUACAGCUUCAAAUACUUACUUUAAC